UAUUCUGCACGCACCGAACCCUAGGGCUCCUCCUCCUCAUCCUUUCCUCCUCCGCACCCUCAACCGAUCUGGUGGCGACGAGUUCAAUAUGGCAGCAUAUCAUGCGCACCUCACAAAUCAUCCUUUUAUUGAUCCAACAAUCCAGCCACAUGGCGUUGGCGGAUAAGAGCCUCCUCUAAACAUUACGUACCCUCCGUCGAGAUUGGAACAACCUAUGUUCGCUACCCGAGAUCACCGGCACAUCGUCAAGCAAUCCUACUGCCGUUCUUCCUCAUCUCCGUGUCUCCUCCCCUACCAUUCGCCACUUCAACCUCACAUACAUACUAGAAUGGGUUCAAGAAAAGCUUGGUGAAGCACUGAAGCUUGAGUGGGUCUAUACACGGACAGAAAAGGAGAUGAGAUGCAUUGAACAUCAAUACGACAAAUAGAAGCAUAAGGUUUUCCAGUAUGGUGUGCUUCCCCUUGGUGGUUAUCCAUGAGUUGAUUUCAUUUUUUAGUUUGCAAGAAAGUUUCAAUUGACAAUAAUAAUACAGGAUGGUGUUGCUGCAUCUACUAGGAGAUACUAUGUGCUUCUCGCUGAGUAUUUCCAUACUGACUCCAUAUUGUUGCAGAUCUGAACCUGCAAGAUAUAUAUAUAUCUCUUAAAUAAUGUGUAUUAUGGGUAUUUCCAGUGUUGUACACACUUCUUUC